UCGAAGGCUUUAUUCAAAGCCAACAUGAAUUAUAAUAGGUAAUUCU
rfam:Papilio machaon contig34781, whole genome shotgun sequence.